rnacentral:snoRNA from 1 species
CCAAUAAAUUUCAGAAAUGUUAAAAAUCAUACUCUCCAUAAGGGAGCACAAGGCUCUGCCCCAUGGUAUACAUUUCCUUUCUACAAUGGAGAAGAAGCUGGGCCUUGUGUCUGCACCUGCAUAUUCCUACAACUUCUCAGAGUCCUUUGGGCAAUGACUGAGGAGAUAAACCAUGCAGGAAAUGAUA